AAUAGCCUAACGGCUGAACCAGCAAUUUGGAAGAAUGUAUAGCAAUAGCUGAUUGCACCAACAAACAGUUGAUGCAAAAUUGAUUAUAUCAAAUAAAAUUCUAGGUAGAUUUUUGAUAAUGACAUUGCUUACCUAAGUCUUGACCAAAUUACGUGCCAGCAGUCGCGGUAAUACGUAAAAGACUAGUGUUAUUCAUCUUUAAUUGGUUUAAAGGGUACCUAGACAGCGAAUAAAGCCAUAGUAGGGACUAAUUCGCUAGAGUUACUUAUGAGGGGGUAUUAAAGUACUGCAGGUGUAGAGAUGAAAUUUUGUUAUACCUCUUUUCGUAAGAGAAAAUAUGGCACAGGUAUAGGUGAAAGCAUCCCCUUAUGUGAUAACUGACGUUGAGGGACGAAGGCUUUGUGUCGCGAACAGGAUUAGAUACCCCAAUAGUCAAAGCAGAAAAUGAUGAAUGUCAUAGAUUAGAUAUGCAAUUUAUUCUAUAAAUGAAAGUGUAAGCAUUCCACCUCAAGAGUAAUUUGGCAACAUUGGAACUGAAAUCAUUAGACCGUUUCUGAAACCAGUAGUGAAGUAUGUUGUUUAAUUUGAUGAUACGCAAAAAACCUUACCACAAUUUGAAUAUUUAUAUCUAUCUUUUAUUGAUUUUUACUAACAUAUAUGUAGACAAUUAAAAUGAUGUUUAUGUCUCGAUUGUGAAACUAAGCAUGAAAAAAGAUAAUAUAUUUACAAGCGUUGCACGGCUGUCUUCAGUUAAUGUCGCGAGAUUUUGGUUAGUUCCAUUAAAUUAACGUAAACCCUUACUUUAUUUAUAAAUAAAGUAGUUCUCCGCUAUAUUGGAUAUGAUAACAGGGACUAAGACAAGUCAUCAUGGCCUAAAUAUUGUGGGCUAUAGACGUGCCACAUAAACCUUACAAAAGGAUGUGAAAUUGUGAAAUUGAGCUAAUCCUCCAAAAAUGGAUAAACAUUUAAU
rnacentral:rRNA from 1 species